UGCGCAGGCGGAACUUUAAGUCAGUCGUGAAAUCUUGCCGCUUAACGGUAAAAUUGCCAUUGAUACUGAAGUUCUUGAAUAUGGUUGAGGUAGGCGGAAUGUGUUGUGUAGCGGUGAAAUGCAUAGAUAUGACACAGAACGCCGAUUGCGAAGGCAGCUUACUAAGCCAUUAUUGACGCUGAGGCACGAAAGCGUGGGGAGCGAACAGGAUUAGAUACCCUGGUAGUCC
rnacentral:rRNA from 1 species